GGUGAAGUGUGCAUAGAGGUUGUGAGUGGUUAAUAAAGAAUCAAUUACUCCUUGUAGGAAGAGAGAAUAUCCUAUGUGAUCUCAUAGGAUGAUGACUCUGAGAGUCUCUGGCCAGAGUAGGGAUGAACAGUAGAAAAAAUUUUUAUUGGUUCAUCAAUCGAGUCAUUAUUAUUAAAUCGAGAUAUAUAUAGAUAGAUAUUUGGGCUUGAUAUGAUUCUAUACCCAUGGUCAGUCUGGGAUGUUAUGUAAUUGAAGGAUUGAAUUGCAUGA
rnacentral:lncRNA from 1 species